rnacentral:rRNA from 1 species
AUUGAACGCUAGCGGCAUGCUUAACACAUGCAAGUCGAACGGCAGCGCGGAGAGCUUGCUCUCUGGCGGCGAGUGGCGGACGGGUGAGUAACGCGUAGGAAUCUGCCUUGUAGUGGGGGACAACUCGGGGAAACUCGGGCUAAUACCGCAUAAUCUCUACGGAGGAAAGUGGGGGAUCUUCGGACCUCACGCUAUAAGAUGAGCCUGCGUCAGAUUAGCUUGUUGGUGGGGUAAAGGCCUACCAAGGCGACGAUCUGUAGCUGGUCUGAGAGGAUGAUCAGCCACACUGGGACUGAGACACGGCCCAGACUCCUACGGGAGGCAGCAGUGGGGAAUAUUGGACAAUGGGCGCAAGCCUGAUCCAGCAAUGCCGCGUGUGUGAAGAAGGCCUUCGGGUUGUAAAGCACUUUCAGCGGGGAAGAAAGGCUCAAAGUUAAUAGCUUUGAGAGUUGACGUUACCCGCAGAAGAAGCACUGGCUAACUCUG